rnacentral:rRNA from 1 species
GAUGAACGCUGGCGGCGUGCCUAAUACAUGCAAGUCGAGCGAACAGAUGAGAGGUUGGCUCCUUUGAGGUUGCGGCCGGAGGGGGAGGUAAACGGGGGUAAACCUCCCUUAAAGCCUGGAAUAACUUGGGGAACCGGGGCUAAAUACCGGUAAAUAAUUGGAACGCCAUGGUUCAUAGUGAAAAAAGGGUUUUCCGGUCAUUAUAGAUGGGUCCGCCCCGCCAUUAGCUAGUUGGUAAGUUAAGGCCUUACCAAGGCAAGCAUGCGUAGCCGACCGGAAGGGGUGAUCGGCCACACUGGAACUGAGACACGGUCCAGACUCCUACGGGAGGCAGCAGUAGGGAAUCUUCCGCAAUGGGCGAAAGCCUGACGGAGCAACGCCGCGUGAGUGAUGAAGGUCUUCGGAUCGUAAAACUCUGUUAUUAGGGAAGAACAAAUGUGUAAGUAACUAUGCACGUCUUGACGGUACCUAAUCAGAAAGCCACGGCUAACUACGUG